UUUUAAAUUAAGGUGGAGGAGGGAACAUAAAGGUAAAAUGGAAUUGGGCAAACAGGUGCGGAGAGAAAAGAGGCUGAGGGCGCAAAAUGAGGGGAGGCGAUGCUGAGAGCUUGCAGCCACAAGCUUCAAAGGCUCGAAUUUGAAGGCCUUCCAGCCUCUCAGCCAGCUCCGCUACAGAUGGUGCCAGAGACCCACCAUAUUCACCAUGAAGUCUGAAGAUUUUGCUGCUGUUUCCCCCCCUCCCCCGGGAUUGUGGGACAAGACUAUGCAGAUGCCUCAAGAGCAAUUACUUCUUCUGGGCACAGCUGAGUUCACUUUUCAAAGGCAGCACACUCCAUGUUCUUACGCCAUGCAAAGAGAAUAUGAGGCAUCCAUUUAUUUCCUCCUUGACGUGGGGGCAAAGGACAGAGCAACAAUUGCAGUUUAGUCUCCAAUGAGAUAACUGCAGGGCAGCAAUAAAGCACUCUGUUGUCAUCAUUAUCGUCAAGUUUAUUUAUAUAUUGCUUUCCCAAAUAAUGCUCAAA